GCCAGGCAUUGUGGCGGAUGCCUGUAGUCCUAGCUACUUGGGAGGUGGAGGCAGGAGAAUCCCUUGAGCCCAGGAGUUGGAGGUUGCUGUGAGCUGUGAUGUCAUAGCACUCUACCCAGGGUGAUAGCUUUAGACUCUGUCUCAAAAAAAAAAAAAAAAAGAAAAGAAUAAAGGAGUAAAGAUCUUCCUUUUUAAAAAAUUAAUUAAUUAAUUUAUUUAUUUUUUGAGACAGAGCCUCAAGCUAUCACCCUGCGUAGAGUGCUGUAGCAUCACAGCUCACAGCAAUCUCCAACUCCUGGGCUCAAGUGAUUCUCCUGCCUCUG
rnacentral:SRP_RNA from 1 species